ACGGCCACAUCAUGUUGAAACACCGGUUCUCGUACGAUCACCGAAGUUAAGUAACGUUGAUCCUGAUCAGUAUCCAGAUGGGUGACCGUUAGGUAAUGCCAGAUGCU